GCCCAACACACAAAACAAGCGGUGAGUGCUUUGGGGUGGGGUGACUGCGUACCUUUUGUAUAAUGGGUCAGCGACUUAUAUUCUGUAGCAAGGUUAACCGAAUAGGGGAGCCGGAGGGAAACCGAGUCUUAAUUGGGCGUUAAGUUGCAGGGUAUAGACCCGAAACCCGGUGAUCUAGCCAUGGGCAGGUUGAAGGUUGGGUAACACUAACUGGAGGACCGAACCGACUAAUGUUGAAAAAUUAGCGGAUGACCUGUGGCUGGGGGUGAAAGGCCAAUCAAACCGGGAGAUAGCUGGUUCUCCCCGAAAGCUAUUUAGGUAGCGCCUCGUGAAUUCAUCUCCGGGGGUAGAGCACUGUUUCGGCUAGGGGGCCAUCCCGGCUUACCAACCCGAUGCAAACUGCGAAUACCGGAGAAUGUUAUCACGGGAGACACACGGCGGGUGCUAACGUCCGUCGUGAAGAGGGAAACAACCCAGACCGCCAGCUAAGGUCCCAAAGUCAUGGUUAAGUGGGAAACGAUGUGGGAAGGCCCAGACAGCCAGGAUGUUGGCUUAGAAGCAGCCAUCAUUUAAAGAAAGCGUAAUAGCUCACUGGUCGAGUCGGCCUGCGCGGAAGAUGUAACGGGGCUAAACCAUGCACCGAAGCUGCGGCAGCGAACGUAUCACUUAAAGCGAUUCAGCGGGUUACGAUUGACGGAGCGAAGCGACGUCAAAGCGUAUACAAAGUCGAGUCGGUUUAAGGAUACGUUCGUUGGGUAGGGGAGCGUUCUGUAAGCCUGUGAAGGUGUGUCGUGAGGCAUGCUGGAGGUAUCAGAAGUGCGAAUGCUGACAUAAGUAACGAUAAAGCGGGUGAAAAGCCCGCUCGCCGGAAGACCAAGGGUUCCUGUCCAACGUUAAUCGGGGCAGGGUGAGUCGACCCCUAAGGCGAGGCCGAAAGGCGUAGUCGAUGGGAAACGGGUUAAUAUUCCCGUACUUGGUGUUACUGCGAAGGGGGGACGGAGAAGGCUAUGUUGGCCGGGCGACGGUUGUCCCGGUUUAAGCGUGUAGGUGUGUGUUCCAGGUAAAUCCGGUUCACUUUAACACUGAGGCGUGAUGACGAGGCACUACGGUGCUGAAGCAACAAAUGCCCUGCUUCCAGGAAAAGCCUCUAAGCAUCAGGUAACAUCAAAUCGUACCCCAAACCGACACAGGUGGUCAGGUAGAGAAUACCAAGGCGCUUGAGAGAACUCGGGUGAAGGAACUAGGCAAAAUGGUGCCGUAACUUCGGGAGAAGGCACGCUGACACGUAGGUGAAGUGAUUUACUCAUGGAGCUGAAGUCAGUCGAAGAUACCAGCUGGCUGCAACUGUUUAUUAAAAACACAGCACUGUGCAAACACGAAAGUGGACGUAUACGGUGUGACGCCUGCCCGGUGCCGGAAGGUUAAUUGAUGGGGUCAGCGCAAGCGAAGCUCCUGAUCGAAGCCCCGGUAAACGGCGGCCGUAACUAUAACGGUCCUAAGGUAGCGAAAUUCCUUGUCGGGUAAGUUCCGACCUGCACGAAUGGCGUAAUGAUGGCCAGGCUGUCUCCACCCGAGACUCAGUGAAAUUGAACUCGCUGUGAAGAUGCAGUGUACCCGCGGCAAGACGGAAAGACCCCGUGAACCUUUACUAUAGCUUGACACUGAACAUUGAGCCUUGAUGUGUAGGAUAGGUGGGAGGCUUUGAAGCGUGGACGCCAGUCUGCGUGGAGCCGACCUUGAAAUACCACCCUUUAAUGUUUGAUGUUCUAACGUGGACCCGUGAUCCGGGUUGCGGACAGUGUCUGGUGGGUAGUUUGACUGGGGCGGUCUCCUCCUAAAGAGUAACGGAGGAGCACGAAGGUUGGCUAAUCCUGGUCGGACAUCAGGAGGUUAGUGCAAUGGCAUAAGCCAGCUUGACUGCGAGCGUGACGGCGCGAGCAGGUGCGAAAGCAGGUCAUAGUGAUCCGGUGGUUCUGAAUGGAAGGGCCAUCGCUCAACGGAUAAAAGGUACUCCGGGGAUAACAGGCUGAUACCGCCCAAGAGUUCAUAUCGACGGCGGUGUUUGGCACCUCGAUGUCGGCUCAUCACAUCCUGGGGCUGAAGUAGGUCCCAAGGGUAUGGCUGUUCGCCAUUUAAAGUGGUACGCGAGCUGGGUUUAGAACGUCGUGAGACAGUUCGGUCCCUAUCUGCCGUGGGCGCUGGAGAACUGAGGGGGGCUGCUCCUAGUACGAGAGGACCGGAGUGGACGCAUCACUGGUGUUCGGGUUGUCAUGCCAAUGGCACUGCCCGGUAGCUAAAUGCGGAAGAGAUAAGUGCUGAAAGCAUCUAAGCACGAAACUUGCCCCGA
rnacentral:rRNA from 1 species